GACGAACGCUGGCGGCGUGCUUAACACAUGCAAGUCGAGCGGUAAGGCCCUUUCGGGGGUACACGAGCGGCGAACGGGUGAGUAACACGUGGGUGACCUGCCCUCAGCUCUGGGAUAAGCCUGGGAAACUGGGUCUAAUACUGGAUAUGACUCCACGGUGCAUGUCGUGGGGUGGAAAGCCUUGUGCGGCUGAGGAUGGGCCCGCGGCCUAUCAGCUUGUUGGUGGGGUGANGGCCUACCAAGGCGACAACGGGUAGCCGGCCUGAGAGGGCGACCGGCCACACUGGGACUGAGACACGGCCCAGACUCCUACGGGAGGCAGCAGUGGGGAAUCUUGCGCAAUGGGCGAAAGCCUGACGCAGCGACGCCGCGUGAGGGAUGACGGCCU
rnacentral:rRNA from 1 species